rnacentral:tRNA from 1 species
GGUUUUAUAGUCAAAAAUGAUCUUAAAUUGCAAAUUUAAGGGUGAAGAGUUUCUUCUAAGGCCU